rnacentral:tRNA from 1 species
GAGGGUAUAGCUCAAGUGGUAGAGUGCAUACUCAGCACACAGGAGGUCCUGGGUUCAAUCCCCAGUACCUCCU